rnacentral:rRNA from 1 species
CCUACGGGGCGCUGCAGUGGGGGAUAUUGCACAAUGGGGGAACCCUGAUGCAGCGACGCCGCGUGGGUGAAGGAGCGUUUCGGCGCGUAAAGCCCUAUCGGCAGGGAAGAAGGAGGACGGUACCUGACGAAGAAGCCCCGGCUAACGACGUGCCAGCAGCCGCGGUAAUACGUCGGGGGCAAGCGUUAUCCGGAUUUACUGGGUGUAAAGGGGGCGCAGACGGCAGCGCAAGCCAGGAGUGAAAGCCCGGGGCCCAACCCCGGGACUGCUCUUGGAACUGCGCGGCUGGAGUGCAGGAGGGGCAGGCGGAAUUCCUGGUGUAGCGGUGAACUGCGUAGAUAUCCGGAGGAACCCCGGUGGC